CCCGCACCCGCUCGCCGAAACCCUAGCCGCCGCCGCCCCCGCACCUUGGCCGACCCUUAGCCCGUCGAUGGCGAGGAGCCCUCAGCCCGUCGCCUGCCUUUACCGACAAAUCACGCGACCGCGUGCCCACCAAAUCCCAAAUCUCACUGUCUCCGCCCUCUCCCCGUCCCCUCCACCAAGAUCGCACCAACUACCUCGAUGGCCGCCGCCGCACCGCCGCACGCCGCGGCACUCCUGGCCGCCCUCGCCCUCGCCCUUGCCCUGCUCGCGCUCGCGCCUCCGGCGGUGGCCGAGAUCCGGUCGAUGGCGAUCCGGGCCGACCCGCGCACUAUGAUCCCGUGCGGUGCGGGAGAGCGGCACGGCGGCGGAGAAACCUCGGCGACCAGAUGACGGCGCAGGUUGACUCCGGUCCGGCGUGGUGAAUCUGCAGCGGCGGUCAGAUCAAGGCAAGGAUGGGUCGGAAAGCUGGGCUGUACAUAAACUCAAAGAAGUUUGGCGGCGUCGUUAAGCCGUACAUGCUGGAGAUGACGGCCUUCCUCAACUGCCUCGCCUUGAACAAGCAGAUCGAUCAAAGUAAUUCCAUAUCUAGCGAUGAUUAUCUCAGCACCAAUUGGCAGUGAGAGGCAGAAGGGGAAUGCUGACACCGCGUUCCAUGCUCCUUCAGACAUGGAGUCCAGGCGCGCAUGGCUCCGUCGCCCCGCGCGCUCCAUUGGAGGAGCCCCCGCCCCGCGCGUGGCCGCCUUGGAGUUGGAGCGCUCUGGCCCCACGCCCUUGUCUGCUCUGGCGGCGGGUUCCUCCUGGCCGCAAUGAUGCUCGAGGCCGGCCGCUACACCCACAAGAAGGAUGAUGGCAUCUGCAACAGUGAGCUGCAGGGUUUUGCUUGCUCGCUUGCUUACUUUGCUGCCUGUCUGUAACCUGGUCGAUUUUGUUUUCUGCUACCAUUCUCAGUGUCAUGAAAAUGGAGAUGCAUGUCUAACUGCUUCACAUGCUUAAUCUAAUUUAAUGUGUAAAAUGGCAGGCAAAUGCUGCUGCAAAGAUAUUAGUGGUAUAUGUGCAUGCAUUUGACAAUAUGAUUUCACAUGUGUGUUUGAACAUUAACCAUACAGAUUAUGGUACUGUUAAUUUGGUGCAGUUGAAUGAGUGCUUGGUGUUGAUAUUU